rnacentral:other from 1 species
CUAUCCCUGCCUAGUUCGCCAAGGUCAAUAGUUCCUUGAACCGAUGCUAACGCAUAAGGUGCUAAGAAGUGCAGUGGGCGAGCGCGCCUUGUUUUUAUAGGGUAUCACUUUAGGUGCUAUUCUCCCUGGAAAUACUGAUGCGCCCAAAACUAUACUAGAGGCACCGCCUUGAACUCUCUGGGUUCAGGAUGACGACCUAGCGGCUAUGGCGGGGACCCU